GAGUUACAAAGGACGACAUUAGACGAAUCAUCUGGAAAGAUGAAUCAAAGAAGGUAAUAAUCCUGUAGUCGAAAAUGUUGUCUCUCUUGAGUGGAUCCUGAGUACGACGGAGCACGUGAAAUUCCGUCGGAAUCUGGGAGGACCAUCUCCUAAGGCUAAAUACUCUCUAGUGACCGAUAGUGAACCAGUACCGUGAGGGAAAGGUGAAAAGCACCCCGGAAGGGGAGUGAAAUAGAACCUGAAACCGUGUGCUUACAAGUAGUCAGAGCCCGUUAAUGGGUGAUGGCGUGCCUUUUGUAGAAUGAACCGGCGAGUUACGAUUUGAUGCAAGGUUAAGCAGUAAAUGUGGAGCCGUAGCGAAAGCGAGUCUGAAUAGGGCGUUUAGUAUUUGGUCGUAGACCCGAAACCAGGUGAUCUACCCUUGGUCAGGUUGAAGUUCAGGUAACACUGAAUGGAGGACCGAACCGACUUACGUUGAAAAGUGAGCGGAUGAACUGAGGGUAGCGGA
rnacentral:rRNA from 1 species